UAAGGAAUAUUGGUCAAUGGACGCAAGUCUGAACCAGCCAUGCCGCGUGAAGGAUGAAGGUCCUCUGGAUUGUAAACUUCUUUUAUCUGGGACGAAAACGGGAUUUUUAUCUCAAUUGACGGUACCAGAGGAAUAAGCACCUGCUAACUCCGUGCCAGCAGCCGCGGUAAUACGGAGGGUGCGAGCGUUAUCCGGAUUUACUGGGUUUAAAGGCUGCGCAGGUGGGCUUAUAAGUCAGUGGUGAAAUCUCCGAGCUUAACUUGGAAACGGCCGUUGAUACUAUAGGUCUUGAAUUAUCUGGAGNGAAGCGGAAUAUGUCAUGUAGCGGUGAAAUGCUUAGAUAUGACAUAGAACACCAAGUGCGAAGGCAGCUUACUACAUAUAAAUUGACGCUGAGGCACGAAAGCGUGGGGA
rnacentral:rRNA from 1 species